rnacentral:lncRNA from 1 species
AAGACGAAGAGGAGGAGGAGGAAGAGGAGGAGGGGUCCCCGCGGCUUUAUCUCCCACCCGGCUCCGCCCGCCACCGGCUGCCUCCCGUGGCCGCUCCGUGCCGUACCGCUCCGCACAGCCGGGCGCAGCGCCGGGCAGGGCAGCGCCCAUGGGCUGCGGCAACUCCACGGCCGGCGGCGCGGGCGGGCGAGGUGCCACGGGGACCACUAAAGAUGUAGCAGAAGAAUCUGUAUCAGAUGAUGACAAAAGGAGGUAGGUGCUGUACUGAGGCUGGCUUUAUUUACAAUUGGCUGCAGUG